rnacentral:lncRNA from 1 species
GCAGCUUGUGCCUCACACGGUGCGGCCAGGCUGAGGACCACCUGGAGGCUGAAACUGGCCUAUGCGCAAAAGGAUGCCUGGAAUCCAGCUGCAAGAAAGGAAAGAAUUCAUCCUCAUGUGACCGAGUAGACCGUGAAUGGGAGAGUGGCCUGCGCCGGAAACAAAAGUGUGCCCGAAGAUUGAUAGGAACUGCACAGAACAGGACGCUGUAACAACAACAGGGCCGGAGAGCUCGGUGCUAAUAUUGUGUCCAUGAACAGAAGACUAAAGUAGAAGCUGAGAUUCCACAUUGCUUCAUCACACUAAGAUAUACAGGUAUUCCAAAUUUGGCAGAUUUUAGUAAACACUGUACAUAUGACAAGAGUGAAAGUGCUUUGGUUCCCUCAUCAUCCCAGACACAAUUUCCCAACUGCUGUACAUUUAAUUAAAUUUCC